AUCGAAAGACUCCUUUUCCUUUGUGCUGCGCUUCUGACGUGCAAUCGAUCGUCAAUUUUGGGACUUCGUAGUYYUGUUACCGGUCAAACUAUUCGAUCUUCCUGAGAAACUUACUGAACAACUAAACAAUGAUUUUAAUAAUCUGUUUAAAACAACUUUCAACAACGGAUCUCUUGGUUCUCGCAUCGAUGAAGAACGCAGCGAAAUGCGAUACGUAAUGUGAAUUGCAGAAUUCAGUGAAUCAUCGAAUCUUUGAACGCACAUUGCACUCCUUGGUAUUCCGAGGAGUAUGCCUGUUUCAGUAUCAUGAGCACUCUCACACCUAACCUUUGGGUUUUGUUGUGGAAUUGGGAUGCGCCGAUUUUAAUAGUCGGCACUCCUAAAAUGUAGUUCUUGGCUGUUUCCUACUACAGCAGUUUGGCCUAAUAGUUUUGACUUUUGUCAAAUCUUUGGCUACAUUUGCUUCUGGAAAUCAGUUUUGAUAAUACAGAAAACUCAUUCAAACUUUGAUCUGAAAUCAGGUAGGC
rnacentral:rRNA from 1 species